CUACGGGAUGCUCCAGUGAGGAAUUUUGCGCAAUGGGGGAAACCCUGACGCAGCAACGCCGCGUGAGCGAAGAAGGCCUUCGGAUCGUAAAGCUCUGUCAAGUGGGAAAAAAAUUCUUUGAUGAACAGUCAAAGGACUUGAUGGUACCACUGGAGGAAGCACCGGCUAACUCCGUGCCAGCAGCCGCGGUAAUACGGAGGGUGCAAGCGUUGUUCGGAAUUACUGGGCGUAAAGAGCGGGUAGGCGGUUUGACAAGUCAGAUGUGAAAGCCCCGGGCUCAACCCGGGAAGUGCAUUUGAAACUGUUUCACUAGAGUAUGGGAGAGGAGAUUGGAAUUCCUGGUGUAGAGGUGAAAUUCGUAGAUAUCAGGAGGAACACCCGUGGCGAAGGCGAUUCUCUGGACCAAUACUGACGCUGAGACGCGAAAGCGUGGGGAGCAAACAGGAUUAGAUACCCUGGUAGUC
rnacentral:rRNA from 1 species